AGCUAGUAAAGCGGUGCAUAAUUAUAACUGUUGUCUAGUAGAGUUUUCGAGCAAGUGACUUCCAGUUUGGGUUGCCUUCGGAUUCCACCGGAAGGCGCUUAUCAAGAGUAAACAUGCCACGUCGUGCAACAGUGCGCCAAUGCAAGGCCUAAGAAGGAGCACCAAGCGAGGAUAAUAUCCAAGAGAGAAUCCGGAAAUGACCAUUGGCUUCCCAGGAUCGACUCAAGUGAAAAAGGAUACUCCAUCGAGGAACCCCUUGGAGAAUUGAAAACGUCUUCUGCCAGCAGUCAGUCAGCCUCGAUUGGUAGAGCAGGCAGUUCUUGGGGUGAAAAAUAUACGCUGCCGGCUACCUUUGUGUGAUACAUAUAAACGAGAUGUUUCCCUCAAAAGAAAUCGGUUCAGUUUCACAACACAAUGUUUGUUUCUCGGUUGUGUGCAACGGUCAGGCUGAAUGGAACCAUGCUACACGCGAGAUUUAACUCGAAGGAGCACGUGAUCAUUCAGGUCCAACUGGAUUAACUCUCGUUAAUUAGAAUUGAAAUUCACCCUUUGUCCGAGGGUCUCCAAUUGGAACUGUUGCCACAUCAUCUUGUUCAACGAAAUCAAGCAGAAGCGACUAAAUUUUAAGUAGCUGCUUUUAAGCGUGGAUACUGAAUGCGAAGCAGGUUCGUAACUGAGCUGCAAUCAAGCAGCGAAGAUCAGUAUCUACUUGAAGUCUGCAAAAAGGCUACUAUAAAAGGAGUCGAUGCAUCCUACACAA